rnacentral:rRNA from 1 species
CCUCCCACCCUUUGUUUAUACAUACCUUUGUUGCUUUGGCAGGCCCGGCUUCGGCCCACCGGCUCCGGCUGGUCCGCGUCUGCCAGAGGAAACCCAAACUCUGUUUGUUAAUAUUGUCUGAGUACUAUAUAAUAGUUAAAACUUUCAACAACGGAUCUCUUGGUUCUGGCAUCGAUGAAGAACGCAGCGAAAUGCGAUAAGUAAUGUGAAUUGCAGAAUUCAGUGAAUCAUCGAAUCUUUGAACGCACAUUGCGCUCCCUGGUAUUCCGGGGAGCAUGCCUGUUCGAGCGUCAUUACAACCCUCAAGCUCUGCUUGGUAUUGGGCCUCGCCGGUUCCGGCGGGCCUUAAAAUCAGUGGCGGUGCCAUUCGGCUUCAAGCGUAGUAAUUCUUCUCGCUUCGGAGACCCGGGUGCGUGCUUGCCAGCAACCCCCAAUUUUUUCAGGUUGACCUCGGAUCAGGUAGGGAUACCCGCUGAACUUAAGCAUAUCAAUAAGCGGAGGAAAAGAAACCAACAGGGAUUACCUCAGUAACGGCGAGUGAAGCGGUAACAGCUCAAAUUUGAAAUCUGGCCGCAAGGUCCGAGUUGUAAUUUGUAGAGGAUGUUUCGAGCAUGGUCUGGCCUAAGUUCCUUGGAACAGGACGUCAUAGAGGGUGAGAAUCCCGUAUGCGGUCAGGUGCCUACGCUCAUGUGAAACUCCUUC